rnacentral:rRNA from 1 species
CGAGCGNGCCCUUCGGGGUGAGCGGCGGACGGGUUAGUAACGCGUGGGAACGUACCCAGAUCUAAGGAAUAGCCACUGGAAACGGUGAGUAAUACCUUAUACGCCCUUCGGGGGAAAGAUUUAUCGGAUUUGGAUCGGCCCGCGUUAGAUUAGAUAGUUGGUGGGGUAACGGCCUACCAAGUCUACGAUCUAUAGCUGGUUUUAGAGGAUGAUCAGCAACACUGGGACUGAGACACGGCCCAGACUCCUACGGGAGGCAGCAGUGGGGAAUCUUGGACAAUGGGCGCAAGCCUGAUCCAGCCAUGCCGCGUGAGUGAUGAAGGCCUUAGGGUCGUAAAGCUCUUUCGCCAGGGAUGAUAAUGACAGUACCUGGUAAAGAAACCCCGGCUAACUCCGUGCCAGCAGCCGCGGUAAUACGGAGGGGGUUAGCGUUGUUCGGAAUUACUGGGCGUAAAGCGCGCGUAGGCGGGUUGUUAAGUUAGAGGUGAAAUCCCGGGGCUCAACCCCGGAACUGCCUUUAAUACUGGCAACCUAGAGUUCGAGAGAGGUGAGUGGAAUUCCGAGUGUAGAGGUGAAAUUCGUAGAUAUUCGGAGGAACACCAGUGGCGAAGGCGGCUCACUGGCUCGAUACUGACGCUGAGGUGCGAAAGUGUGGGGAGCAAACAGGAUUAGAUACCCUGGUAGUCCACACCGUAAACGAUGAAUGNCAGUCGUCGGGUAGCAUGCUAUUCGGUGACACACCUAACGGAUUNANCAUUCCGNCUGGGGAGUACGGUCGCAAGAUUAAAACUCAAAGGAAUNGACGGGGGCCCGCACAAGC